rnacentral:tRNA from 2 species
UGGGGAGUCGCCAAGUGGUAAGGCAGCGGGUUUUGGUCCCGCCACUCGUGGGUUCGAAUCCUACCUCCCCAG